AGUUGUAUCCUGGCUCAGGAUGAACGCUGGCGAGAUGCUUUACACAUGCAAGUCGUACGAGAGUCUUUGACUCAAGUGGCGGACGGGUGAGUAACACGUAAGAAUUUGCCUUUAGGAGGGGGACAACAGCUGGAAACGGCUGCUAAUACCCCAUAUGCUUUCGAGUGAAACGGAUUUUUCCGCCUAGAGAGAAGCUUGCGGCUGAUUAGCUUGUUGGUAAGGUAAUGGCUUACCAAGGCGACGAUCAGUAUCUGGUUUGAGAGGAUGAUCAGACACACUGGAACUGAGACACGGUCCAGACUCCUGCGGGAGGCAGCAGUGGGGAAUUUUCCGCAAUGGGCGAAAGCCUGACGGAGCAAUCUCGCGUGAGGGAUGACUGCCUAUGGGUUGUAAACCUCUUUUUUCAGGGAGGAAUAAAUGACGUGUACCUGAAGAAUAAGCAUCGGCUAACUCCGUGCCAGCAGCCGCGGUAAUACGGAGGAUGCAAGUGUUAUCCGGAAUCACUGGGCGUAAAGCGUCUGUAGGUUGUUUAAUAAGUCAACUGUUAAAUCUUGAAGCUCAACUUCAAAAUCGCAGUCGAAACUGUUAGACUAGAGUAUAGUAGGGGUAAAGGGAAUUUCCAGUGGAGCGGUGAAAUGCGUAGAUAUUGGAAAGAACACCGAUGGCGAAGGCACUUUACUGGGCUAUUACUGACACUCAGAGACGAAAGCUAGGGUAGCAAAUGGGAUUAGAUACCCCAGUAGUCCUAGCUGUAAACAAUGGAUACUAGAUGUUGAACAGAUCGACCUGUGCAGUAUCAAAGCUAACG
rnacentral:rRNA from 1 species